rnacentral:misc_RNA from 1 species
GUUAACUUUGCGGUUUCCUCUUUUUGUUCGAUGAGAGCCGGAGAUUGUGACUGCCGGUCUGGGAAUUGAGACCUCCGGAAUGACCGACAAAGACUCUGAAGCGAAGAGCUUCCGAGCUAUGGUGGAGAGCGCCAACCGGAAGUUCGCUAGGGUCCAAGACGUCCCGGCCUACGGGCGUGUGGACAACCAUCACUACUUUCAUAAGGUUUUCAAGGCUUAUAUGCG